CCUACGGGUGGCAGCAGUGGGGAAUAUUGGACAAUGGGGGAAACCCUGAUCCAGCGACGCCGCGUGCGUGAAGAAGUAUUUCGGUACGUAAAGCUCUAUCAGCAGGAAAGAAAAUGACGGUACCUGACUAAGAAGACUCGGCUAACUACGGGCCAGCAGCCGCGGCACUACGUAGGGGGCAAGCGUUAUCCGGAUUUACUGGGUGUAAAGGGGGCGUAGACGGCAGCGCAAGUCUGUAGUGAAAUGCCGGGGCCCAACCCCAGAACUGCUCUGGAAACUGGGAAGCUGGAGUGCAGGAGAGGGAAGCGGAAUUCCUGGUGUAGCGGUGAAAUGCGUAGAUAUCAGGAGGAACACCGGCUGCGAAGGCGGCAUACUGGACUGUAACUGACGUUGAGGCUCGAAGGCGUGGGGAGCAAACAGGAUUAGAUACCCCAGUAGUC
rnacentral:rRNA from 1 species